GCAAAAAUCGCUUAUGUUCUUGUAGACGUGCCAUCAAAGGAACCCAGAAUCAAGGACUGGCGACAAGGAAGGAGACAAGAAAGAGGGAAACCGGAAGAUAAUAUUAUAAAACAAAAACUUAUAUCGAUGUUUUAAAAGCAAUUAAAUUAUAUCACCUUGAAACCUGAUGAAAGAUUAUCCAAUUGUAAUUAUUCAAGUUUUAUUCGAACAUAACUUGAAAAAAUGGAGACGUUCAACAGGAGCAGAAAAAAGGACUAAUUGUUUAAAGGAAAGUGAGACAGUAAAAGUGCUGCGUUAUUAUGGUGUCUUCAUGCUUAUUUAAUCCCAAUUAAGGGAAAUGUUAACUUAAGCCAGUCCGGAAAAAAAGUAAAAACAAAAUAUACUACAAAAGAUUUUUUAAAAUGCUUUUCUAUUUAUUGGAAAAUCCGUUGGUGAAGUAGAGGACAAACUUCCCUUCUUAAAAGAAAAGUCUUUGAAUGUUCAACUUUUCAUAAUUGGAAUUGGUGAAAACGUUAUGUCUCUCCGAGAAAUUUUUGUAUAUUUCGAUGACAUAGAAUAUUAUUUGAAAAAUUUUGUUAGAGAUACUGACAUUACUUUUAAGAUAUUUUAUUUAUUAAACUUAGAAUA